GCCAGUGUUGAUCAGUGGCUGUCCAGGCCUUUCAGAGCCACUGACACGCCGGCAGCACAAUGAUGAUGUCACUGAUUCUACUGCUGGCCACCCUGGGGCUCCUUGUUCAGGAUUCAUCAGGAGAAAUCAUCCUGACUCAGUCUCCUGGAGCUCAGUCUGUUGUUCCAGGACAGACUGUCUCUCUCAGAUGUAAAGCCAGUUCAGGUGUUAGUAAUGACUUGCAGUGGUACCUUCAGAAACCUGGAGAAUCUCCUGAACUUUUGAUUAGUUAUGCUACAACCCGUCAGUCUGGAGUUUCAGAUCCUUUCAGUGGGAGUCAGUCUGGAACUGACUUCACUUUGACCAUCAGAGGAGUCCAGACUGAAGAUGCAGGAGUUUAUUACUGUCACCAAGGUGGUUACAGCUUCCCAUUCACACAGUGAUACAACGUCGUACAAAAACCUCCUUCAGCUGGAGAGGAACUGAUCUGACUCACCAGCUGCACAGAAAUGAAAACACUAGAUGUUUAAAUAUUAAUACAGUAUAAAAGAAAUAACAGCAAAAACAUGGAAAUACAGAAUAUGCAGAAGUAGUAUUUUUACUGAUAGUGUU